UACGUAGGUGGCAAGCGUUGUCCGGAUUUACUGGGCGUAAAGAGCGCGCAGGCGGUCGUUCAAGUCGCGUGUGAAAGCCCCCGGCUCAACUGGGGAGGGUCAUUCGAUACUGAUCGACUCGAAGGCAGGAGAGGGAAGUGGAAUUCCCGGUGUAGUGGUGAAAUGCGUAGAUAUCGGGAGGAACACCAGUGGCGAAGGCGACUACCUGGCCUGUUCUUGACGCUGAGGCGCGAAAGCUAGGGGAGCAAACGGG
rnacentral:rRNA from 1 species